UACUAUGUGCCAGGCACUGUUCUGAGAUUGAGAUCAGUCAAUGGUACCGAUUGAGUGCUUGGUGUAAGCAGAGUACUGCACUAAGCGCUUGAGAGAGUCCAGUUCCACAGAGUUGGCGGGCAUGUUCCGUGCCCACCAGGAGGGGUACCAGCGAUGGAGAAAUGAUGGAAACCCAAAGUGGUCUGCGGUGCCCUUGCUUAAUAAUAAUAAUAAUAAUAAUGGUAUUUUUUCAGUGCUUACUAUGUGCAAAGCACUGUUCUAAGCGCUGGGGAGGUUAGAAGGUGAUCAGGUUGUCCCCCGGGGGGCUCACAGUCUUCAUCCCCAUUUUGACAUUUUUACAGCUACUUAGCAGUUUUAAUAAAAAUUUUAGUGGAGGCGGAUGGGAAAAAUUAUCAGCAUCGGUGGGUUUUCUGUCAGGGUCCUAUUAGUAAGGACGGUUGAGAGCUGGGCCAACAUUGAUCGAUCAGUUGUGUUUAUUGAGAGCUUACUGUGUGCCGAGCACUGUCAAAGGUCUGUUGGGUUUCUUUUUCUCUGCCCUGUGCGGUUGUAGAUGGCCCCUGAUGGAUGACUUGCAGGCAAGUGCAGAAACUUCAGGACCAGUUUUCUCUGCGGGAGAUCCCUGCGGCUGAGAUCUCGAAGCCACGCUUCCCUGAGGACAGGCUCCGAGGUGAGAUGAUUUCAACAUUGCCCUUGAAGACCAUCUACCAUCUCAACUUGGAGGAGCUAGAAAGAAAAGCUCAGGACAGAAGGGAGAUAAAAGUCUCAGGAGCGAGGAGGGAAAGGAGAUUUCACUGAAGAAAGACAUCUGCCCCAAAAAGUGGUGAAGGGAGAAGACGACGGAGAAGAAUGGCAUCCUCCAAAGAGAACAGGCCAUCCGAUGAUAAACGAAAGAAUUGGGGAGACUGGGAAGAAAAAGUCUCUGAAGAGAGGAGAGAAACUUAACAGCGUUCCCGGAGAAAUAUGUCAAGGGAUGGGGUGGGAGGAUAGGACAUAUGGCCUGCCCAGGAGAAGAGGACAGGCGAUGAAAAUGGAAGACACAGUGAGGGGAAAGGAGGACGAGGCGGGUGCAGAGGUGCGUACUGCCGAAGCCGGUCAUCUCCACAGGGAUGGGAGCCCGAGUGCUAGGGCAUUUAUUUUAAAUUUAGGGCACUGGGAAGGCAGCUCUCGCUCCUCCCCUCCUGUGGCCCCAAGAGCGGCAGGAGCAGCGGCUCACUGUGACCGGCCGGGAAAGUUCCGCCGGCGGCCCAGACUGGGGGGACUCUGCUGUGGGGCUCGGCUCCAGGUUCACCCGCUUCCGAUUCCGGUUCAGAGGCGAUCCCAUGGUGAUUCCGGGUUGCUUCCUCCCCGGCUUCACCGAAAGUCCCCGGCUCCUUCUUCCCCGGCUCCUCUUGCUCGUCAGAUCAGGCAACUUAGUAAUGCAAAGCGAGAGAUGGGUCGCCCCGAAGUCACGUAAAAAGGCCGCCUGAUAGCAUCUUGAAGAUUUUCACCCGAAUAAUGUGCCGUAGUGAAAAACGCGCCGUCCUGCGCUUUGUGGAAACGACAAGACGAAGAGGAAAUGGUCCCAGAGCGGAAAGAAAUGAUCGUGGCGGAUCUGGUGAGCUUCGUCCUGUUGGCCACAGAGGGUCCCCAGCACGACUGACCCUCCGCUGGGGGAGCGGAAGGCAGAUGUCCAGCCUGAGGUCCUGUCACAGAUGGGGCGGACUCUACGGGAGCACCUGGCUCCCUGGUGAUGCAGACCUCGACUAGGGUACCAUGGGCCACGUCUGCUGAGUCCAUGGGCUUCUUUGAUUUUUAUUUUUUGGCCUGUUCUGGGGUCUCUGCCCAGCUCAUUGCCUCGGGGCUGGAAGGGAACCACUUCACCCAAGCCUUUCAGCUGAGCCCCAGCCAGGUGCAGCCCUUCCUGCUGUGCGGACACGGGAGGGUGGGGGGCUUCCUGGGGCCAGGGCUGGCUGUGUUGGAGAGGAUCCUGUGGGGGCUGAAGUCGGUGCUCUACCUGGAGGGCUUCGUGGCUGGGUGGGAAGCAGCAUGGCCUAGUGGAUAGAGCAUGGGCCCGGGAGUCCGA